UUAUCUAUAAUAUGGGCAAAGUCCAAUGCCCAACCCAAAGCUUGUUUACCCAGACACAGAUCCGUUGCAUUUCCAGGAGUGACUUGAGAAACUGCAAAUCGCUUCUGGUGUGAGAGAAUUGGCUGUCUGCAAGGACGUUGCCCAGGGGAUGUUGCCUGGAUGUUUUUGAUGUUUUUACCAUCCUUGUGGGAGGCUUCUCUCAUGUCCCCGCAUGGAGCUGGAGCUGACAGAGGGAGCUCAUCCGCACUCUCCCCGGGUUGGAUUCGAACCUGGUAGCCAUCGAGUCAGCAACCCAACCUUCAAGUCACAAGGCUUUAACCCAAUAAUAUAAUAUAUUGUAUGCACAGUCUAUAUAACUUGUAAGUCGCCCGUGAGAAGGGUGAGAUAGAAAUGUCCCUAAUAAAUAAAUAAAUAUUCCCAA